GUGGUGACUUAGCGGUAGAGUGCUCGCCUAGCACAUGUAAGGUCCUGGGUUCAAUCCUCAGCACCACA
rnacentral:tRNA from 1 species